AGAUGAUCUGGCUGCAUUGUCUAUUGCCCAGUCACGUGGAUUGAGUCAGCUGAUCAGGUUGGCUGGCUAGGUGAGUAUCACUCUCCUCCCUGGCUGCUCCAUGUGCUGCAUGGUUGGUGGAAGAGGAUGACCUUCUCCAGUAGAGGAGAACCAUUCUUAAGUCUUAAGCUGCUGUCCCCAGCUUGAACCUCAAUACAAGCUCUUCAGAAAAUGUGGCAUGUUCAGAUGAGAGAAAAUAAACUGGGGAAUAUAAACUGGUACAUCCACCAUGGAAAUCAAUGUGGAAAUUUCCCAAAAAGCU
rnacentral:sRNA from 1 species